GAUGAAGAACGCAGCGAAAUGCGAUAAGUAAUGUGAAUUGCAGAAUUCAGUGAAUCAUCGAAUCUUUGAACGCACAUUGCGCCCUCUGGUAUUCCGGGGGGCAUGCCUGUUCGAGCGUCAUUAUAACCACUCAAGCUUUCGCUUGGUAUUGGGGCUCGCGGUUCCGCGGCCCCUAAAAUCAGUGGCGGUGCCUGUCGACUCUACGCGUAGUAAUACUCCUCGCGAUUGAGUCCGGUAGGUCUACUUGCCAGCAACCCCCAAUUUUUACAGGUUGACCUCGGAUCAGGUAGGGAUACCCGCUGAACUUAAGCAUAUCAAUAAGCGGAGGA
rnacentral:misc_RNA from 1 species